CAGAGUUCAUGCCCUCCGGGUAGAUCUCCCACCCACUGUUAUCAUUACUCUCGUUGCUUUGGCGGGCCGCUGGGCCCUGCCCGGCCGCCGGCUCCGGCUGGCGCGUGCCCGCCAGAGGCCCGACAAAUUCUGAUUGUCAGUGUCGUCCGAGUACUAUGUAAUCAUUA
rnacentral:misc_RNA from 1 species